rnacentral:misc_RNA from 1 species
UCCCCGGGUGCCAUCUGCUGGCGGUCGGUGCAAGCAGGAGCCACUGGUGCCCCGCAAAGUGCAUAGCGCCGAAACGAAAGGAAGGAAGGCAGGAAGGCAGGCUGGCUGGCAGGCAGGCAGGCAGGAAGGCAGGCAGGAAGGAAGGCAAGAAGGAAGGAAGGCAGGUUUGAGCCCGGGACGAGGACCUGAUGUGCUGCCUCCUCGACGACGAACCCGGGAGCGCACGGGGUUGCUCAUCGCGCGCGCGAUCCGCUCGUGUUGCCAACGAAGAAGCACGAAGAAGCCUUCCUCUGCGACGAGCUGCGAACCUCCACUUCCAUCAUCAGCGAGCAGCUCUGUGAAACCACGAGACGCCCGAAUCAACCCCGAGCCCGUCGCGCUUCCCUGGUGGUACCUUCGCGAAACAUCCCAGAGUGCACCAGCUCGCUUCGCCCGGCGUCCGUCUCGGCCGGUGAUCACACGAAACACCCCCGAACGUCAUACGUCAAACACGAGGAGGAACUCUAAGCUGCCAGGAAGCCGUUCCUGUUGAUCGUCAACGAGAGUAACGUAUCCGUCGACAUCUCGAGCAAAUCCCCAAAUACGGAAUACAAAUCGUCGAUGAUAUCGCGAAGACAACGAGUGCUUCGUGACGCGGGUGUCCUCGGUGGUGCGACGGUCGAUCGAGGAUGUCAGUGAUCGGCGAGAUCUACGUGACGGUCAUCGACGAAGACGAAGCAUCACGGCACGUAUGAGCCGUGCUCGAGGGACGACCGGUGGUAGCGUUCCAUCGCGAGUGCCGAGGUACCUUAUCGCGUGCGAGGCUGGUGGUUGGCGGCAAGAUAUCGACCGCAGCCGCCGAAUUAAUCGCCGAAGGUCGUCACGAGCACCACCUCGCUCUGUUGCCCUUCGCGCGACCUGAUCGGCGAUCUGACCGUUCCCCAGCCGAUGAUCUCCGUCAAGGACAAGCCGAUGACCGGCGAUCAUGAUCGGACAAGAAGGCCUGAGCGAUACCUGCCGAUCUACCAAUCGCGCGGAAUCACGAGAUCAAUCGUUGAAGCGGAACUUCCUUGUUCCCUCGGAUCGGAUCCGAGCUGUGCCGACCUGCCCGUGAUGGUAUAGAUCAAAACGAUUCUUCAGCAGCGCGAUUUUUGUGGGAGCUCGCGGAAGUGUGGAGAACUUCAGACCGACGUGCAUAGAUCAGUAUAUCGAUUCGUCAUCACGAUCAUUGCGACUAACCCGGCGAUGAAUGUUGUUCAAUGAACCUGUGUAUGAGAGUGGAGGGAAAAACCGUCCGUGCGCGUUCGUCUUCUUCGAGCUCGCACGCGUGACGCGCUUUGUCAACGCAAACGUUAACGUCUCGUGAUCGUCACAACCGUUGUGUAAAAUCGAUUCCCGUACGGCAAAAAAAGAUUUGUAUUUAUGAACUCGUUCGUUCUAGAUAAGCUCUUGUCCGAGCUGCUCGUCUUCUCGUCGACAGUACCUGGUACUUUGUCGUUCAAUCGGUCAGCAAGAUCGAACUCGCGCCGGGUCUAAGAACUUCGAGCACGAUACGUUCCAUUCGCUGUUUCGAGGCUGCGCGUGAGGAAGCGCGUGGUUGAAUCGAAGCGACCCUCUCCGAACGAGACCCACUGACCUAUCGACUCAGCGAGCCGCCACUCGAGGCCGCCUUGACCACCCCUGCUUCGCACUUUCCUCCCUGAUGUUUGUUGUCGUUGCUCCUUCAUCCCCGGUCCAACUUGCAGCUCGAUUCCUCCCGUGUGUUUGAUGAAUCGAAAAAUCACUCGCUCUGUUUCUUCGCGUAAUGUCAUGAGCACGUAAAUGGCGCUUCCUCCCUUAAAUACCACCAAAUUGAGUUACAGAUAUCGAUCGCUUUCAGUAAUGUACUGCGACAUUGAACCAGCUCCCGCGAAUGUGUGAUGAUUCUCCGUCGUUACCUCCGCGUUUUUUUAUUUUGACACUGGCGAAUCGAGCCGAUUGUAUCCCGCGAAGAUGAAUCGGAGCGAACGUACGGUCGCGUUCACCGGAAAAUCGACCGAAGGCGGAUACGUCGGGAUCGAGAUCGAGAUCGACAUCGGCGCGUUAUCUCGACGUGCCGUAAAAGCGCGGCGUACCGGUGUGAGCCGUUAAUAACGGUCUACACGUAUGGUCUGGCGAAAAAGAUCGUCGGAUAUCUGAUCAAACACAAGCGACAACGAGAGAGAGAGAGAGAGAGAGAGAGAUUAAGGGAAGCGAGAACGGCGCGAAACAUUGCGCGCUUCAAGAACAAAGACGCUUUAAAGAGUUCUCCUCUUUAAACGAUGAACCCGGCAGUCAUGAGGGGAUGCCAAUAAGUCCAUAUUAGACCUGUAAGAUCUGCAAUAAACAUGUGAAGAAUAUUUGCACAUGGGCGAGAAUAUGAUGGGAUAAAGAAGCAAACUUAAGCAAUCUCAAACUUGACUGAAAGACUCAUCUAUUCAUCAGCGUGUCACCGGCCUCGACACGCAACGCAACAACAACGACACUGUCUUCAAGUCAUCAUAUGUAGAAAUGCCGUAAUCUGCAUUAAGAUACUUUUGCUGGCAAACGAACACGCGCAAAAGAUGGCUGAAAGAGCGGCAAGUCCGGCCACCGUGCACGUCGCUGCGAACAGCCCUCAGCAACAGCAGCAGCCGCAACAACAGCAGCAACCGCAACAGCAACAAUCACAGCAAGCACAACCGCAGCAGCAGCAGCAGUCUCAGCAACAGCAAACGCAACAGCCACCGGAUAUAAGUAGCUCACAGCUGACGUCUCCACCAAUCACGGGAACAGCCCAGAUCGAGAUAAUCCCGUGCAAGGUGUGCGGGGACAAGAGCAGUGGCGUGCAUUACGGCGUGAUCACCUGCGAGGGCUGCAAGGGCUUCUUCAGGCGGUCGCAGUCGUCGGUCGUCAACUAUCAAUGUCCGCGAAACAAGAAUUGCGUGGUCGACCGUGUAAACAGAAACCGGUGCCAGUACUGUCGGUUGCAAAAGUGCCUACGCCUCGGCAUGUCAAGAGAUGCCGUUAAAUUUGGGCGCAUGUCGAAGAAGCAACGGGAGAAGGUCGAGGAUGAGGUCAGAUUCCACAGGGCGCAAAUGAGGGCGGCCUCGGAGACGGCGCCGGAUAGCAGCGUGUUCGAGCAUCAGACGCCGAGCAGUUCGGAUCAACACCACCCCUACAAUGGCGGGUACACGUACGGCGGUAGCGAAUACACGUCGUCGGGACCCGGCACCGGCGGUUACACGAAUUACAAUCACCAGGCGAUGACGAAUUACGAGCUUAGUGCCGACUACGUCGACAGCACGACGACCUACGAUCCGAGACCGACGCAGACGCAGGUCGCGGACACCGUCGCGCCCGACACACCCUCGGCCGUCACCGCGACCGGGGUGCUUCCCAGCGUGGUCACCACCGAUCCGGCACAGAUCAGCGAGCUUCUUUCGAAAACGAUAGCGGACGCGCAUGCAAGGACGUGCCUGGUGUCGACGGAACAAAUCCAGGAGUCCUUCCGGAAGCCCACCGACAUCACCAGAAUGAUCUACUACAAGAACAUGGCGCACGAGCAGCUCUGGCUGGAAUGCGCUCAAAAGCUAACCACUGUCAUCCAGCAGAUCAUUGAGUUCGCCAAGAUGGUCCCAGGAUUCAUGAAGCUCUCGCAGGAUGACCAGAUUGUUUUAUUAAAGGCCGGUUCCUUCGAAUUGGCUGUGCUACGAAUGAGCAGGUACCUCGAUAUCCAGCAAAACUGUGUCCUAUACGGCGACACCCUGCUACCGCAGGAGGCGUUUUAUACGACGGAUACGGCGGAAAUGAAGCUUGUUUCCUGCGUAUUCGAGUUAGCCAGAAGCAUCGCCGAAAUGAAGCUCACCGAAACCGAGUUGGCGCUCUAUAGCGCGGCUGUUCUACUUACCCCUGAUCGACCCGGAUUGAAGUGCCUGAUGGAUAUCACUAGGCUGUCGCAGGCGGUGGUCAGGGCGUUGAGGUCGGAAAUCGAUCGGAACCACGUAACGCCAAUCAAGGGCGACGUGACCGUGUGUGACGCGAUCCUCGCGAAGAUACCGCAGCUACGGGAGAUCUCGCUGCUGCACAUGGACGCGCUGGCGAAGUUCAAACGGUCGCAGCCGCAUCUCGAGUUCCCGGCCCUCCACAAGGAGCUCUUCAGCGUCGAUAGCUGAACGAGCGACGCAGCGCGGAGCGUCGUCCCGGCGCUGCCGAGCGGACAGGAGCGCGAGUAGCGUCGCGGACCUUGGCUCGGUCAAGAUUAUUUCCUUCGUAAUGAACGUAUUGGGCCUUAAAUAAACAUAACAUUGUUAUAUAUAAAGUAUACAUAAAAGAAGCAACAUAAAGUAUAUACAGAAGAAAUAUAUAUAUAAAUAUAAAUAUAAAUAUAUACAUAUAGUGUGGAUGCGUAUGUGUAUACGCGCGCGCGCGCGACACGUCUCACCGACGCAAAGGUGUAUACACAUACGCGUGUCGUUAUAAGAUUAUAAUUACAUAGACGGAGAAAUCGCGAAUGUGUGCGUGUGCGAGACGAGCGAGCGAGCGCGCGACAAGAACAAGAGUAAAUGAGUGUGAGAGCGAGAUGCGAGACAAAAGAGCGAGAGUACGUACGAGUGCGGAUCAUUGAGAAAGAGAGCGAGAGAGAAAGAGAGAUAUCGGUUGUUACGAUACAUACGAUAAAAGUAUAUAUUGUAUUAACUAAAAAAAAAAGAUAAUAGUGGAGGGAGGAGAAGUGGGGGAGAGAGGAGGACGGUGAUUAACCGGGUCCUGCCAGGACGGUCCGAGACGACGACGCGCGAAUAUAGCAUAAUAUUACUACACCGAGGACUGGCGUUCUCCCUUUACGGGAGGAGAAUCUCGAUCGGACCGCCCGUGCGAUGUAGAGACCGAAUAAUUAUCGCACCAUCGAACACACGAGAGUACGGGCGAACCCAGCGAAAUAGCGAUCGACGAAGGGUAGAGCUUAUUGCGGGCGAGGAACCGUGCUACCGCGUCGGAGAUUAGACGUAAUUAAGCGCGAUGAUGGCGGUGUGAUGGGGGAUGCCCUGAUCACACUCUCUUCUUCUACGGGGUUUACCAAUUUUCUCUAAUUUCCUCGGACCUCCGUUUGGACGUUUUUCUUUUUAAAUUCCAUCUUCGUUACAUUGUUUCGCUUUGUUUUGUCGAUCAUCAAUUGCGCGGGGAGGAAGGGGGAGUAGACUAUAUUGUGCCGUAAAGGGAACGUGAUAUAAUCAAGAUUGAGUGAUGAAGAAACGUUUCGUAGUAACUAGAGCGCGGGCUCAUUUAAUUUUAAGGGGUUUAAUAAAGACUGCUAGAAUCGUAGAGUAACGAGCGGGGAACAUUUCGAGCAAAGAGAGAAAGAUAGAGAGUCCGGAGACAAAUUAAAGAGGUAUGAGUCAUGAAAGAAUAACAAGAGUCGAUAAUAAAGUGCAAGGAAGCUUCGAGGGCUGAUGAGGGCACGCCUAUCGAUCGUCAUUAUUGUAAUCAGCUUGCACGAGCUGCGAGGCGAUCGGAACUUCUGCGUUCUCCGUUCGUAUAGCCGGUAAAGGACGCAUUUGUUCGCUAAAUAUUCGAGCGCGAGAUAUUGAAUGAGUUUCAAGGCGAAAACGUACGUACGAUUAAAGAAGCAAGUACAUGAUAGAGCACCGUCUUCUAUUUAGGGAUGCAACAGCUGCUUCGUCUAGAUGCCCUUCCAAUCACGGCGCUGCCAAUCACGCGUUAUCAUCAUUACUCACUCGAGGCGGAAAAUUUCUUUCGGCUUAGCAAGAACAUUCGGCGAAUAAACGCAUCCUUUUACUCACAAUUAGCUUAAGUGCAAAAUAUCGGCAGCGGUCACGCGUUCUGCCGCCGCCGCGACUUCGAGUAGUGAUUCGAGUAUAGUUCUGAGCUACUUUAGCAUAAAUAUAUAAAUAAAUAAAUAAAUAAUUAAAUAAAUAAAUAUAUAAAUAUAUAAAUAUAUAAAUAAAUAUAUAUAUACAUACACUAUAUAUAUGAGAAUAUAUUUUCGGCGGAACGAUCGAGAUUCGACGGUCCUCGCGAUUAGCGAAAAUGAUGAGCGUUAUAGAUUAGAAAGAAAUUUCGUCCCUGCGCACCAGCCUGGCCGGAUUUCACGGAUAACGGAACACCUAACACGAAUUCAUGUAUACAUACGUACAUACAUUUAUACGUACACACACAUACAUACAUACAUACAUACGUCCAUGCAAUACAGUACAUAAACGCGCAGAGAUAUAAACCGGCAAAGAGAAGAAACGGAGUGAACGAGAGUAAGAAAGGGAGAAUGAACGUGAGAGCGAGAGAGAAGUGUUAUAUGAGUCGAUACGCGCGGAUGCGACUUUCACGGAUGCAGGCGUAGAUAGAGCUAAAUCGAUCGCAUUAUGCGCGCGCAUUAAAAACGUUUUUGGUACUGUACGGCACUUGUAUGACGCGUCUCUUUAUACGUAAAUGAAAAACCCGUACUUCUUAUGGUUAUAAAGAAAAAAAAGAAAAAGAGAAAAAACACAUGCAAUAGCCCGUCGUCGCGCGCUGGGACACCCCCGCGAAGCGUUUACAUUACGCACCGUCACCGGCUUUCCUCGCUGUCGUCGAUCGUUGAUCGAGGGAUCAAGACGGAGAUCGAGAAGAGUUGAAUAAACGGCUCGCCGUUGCUCGUCGACACUUUCGCGACCGUUCUCAAAUGCAAAAUCAGGUCAUUGCGUGCCGGGCCGGAUUGAAAAAGUAUUCGUACGCCUUCGUGUCGCUGCUAAGGAUAAAAUUACGAUGUUAAGAGGCAGACUGGAAUGAAAGAACGAAAGUAUUCCUACAGCAUCAUCCUGUUGCUAUAAAUAACACUACGUUGUUAAGCUGUAACGCUAAAAGGUACUUGUACGUCACACGUUUGCUUUUAUUACAUUAUUUAACUUGUUACGACGCGAUAUUUAAACUGUUUAGGAAUCUUAAAAAUAUAUAGCUCGUAAUAUUGAUUUAAAGAAUACGUGAGAUACAUACAUACAUACAUGUAGGACCGCAUUCUCAUUUAAAAGUUACUUAUAGCGAUGACGUGCGAAUACUGUUUGUCUCAUUGUAUAGUGAAUUUGUUUAAGGCGAAUUAUUGAGUAUAUUGCAGCUAAUUAUGUGAACCCUAAACGGUAUACAUAUAUAAGCGGGGUCUGACAGACCGUUUUUCAUUGCAACUCGUUAAAGAAAUUUUAUAGCGCUAUUAUUAUUUGUUUGUAUUUAUAAAGUUUAAUAUAAAUGAAUAAAAUCUAAUUUCCACAUGUAGAAGUCGGAUAUAUUUUAUUUUUAUAUAACUAUUUAUUAUUGCAUAAUCUAUGCAGCGUCCGUCGGCCCCCUUUGUAUUAUUACGUAAGUAAAGUAAAAUUAUGCUGUUUAGGGUGCAACAAUCUUCAACAAAUAUCAUAUAUUUAACCCAUUAUAAUUGUAAAACAUGAGUUUAUAAUUGUACAUAAUAUUACAAUUGUAAUAAUGAGAUAAUGAUUUUGUUCGUUAUCUUUAGAAAUUCCAAUUUAUUUUUCAUGAAUAUUUAAUUGUCGAUUUAUAUUUCUUUUAAUAGCAAUUUAUUAAAAUAAUUAUACUCUCUGUAUAUUUAUAUACAUAUUUAAUGUAAUAUGAUUUUAUGUAAAAUCAUGCAACAAUGUUAUUUUUAAUGGGUUAAAUAUAUCAAUAUCAAAGUUGCGUAAAUCUGCAGCUUAAAUAUCUAGCGGUCGCGAAAGUGUUAACGAUAUUGUUGUAAAUUCUUUAUAUAUUGAUUUAUAUUGUAUAUUUAUUUAUCUCUAUUUUUCCGAUUUUCGAUAUUGAAUACCAAGAUUAUUAAUUCCAUAUACUGAAACAACGAUUAAACAAUGGUAAUUCGCAUUUUUCAAAUAUAUGAUGUCUUACAUGUCAACUAAUGGCAUAAUAAUAACUUACAACAUAUUAGUUUAUCAAAGUUAAAAAAUUAGAUUGUUAAUUUUAAAAGUAAGAUCUAAUUUUGGUGCAAGCAUCUUUGAUCUUCCAAGUAUUUCAAGUUUUUUUUUUAUUUUUAUCACAUUUUUCAUGUUUUGCAUUAUUGAUAUUAAUUAUGAGAAAGUUUUCCAAACUUCGAAUCUUUAAAUUGCAAGAUCAUUAUAGAAAGUAGAAAGCCAGCGAAUGUUAAUUUAAAGCUCAACUGGUUGAAAUAUUAUGAAUAAUUAUGAUUACAUUCGCGAAGUGAAAUUACCGUAAAACUUUCACAAUUGUUAUUUUAUUGUUGAUUUCAAAACAUUUUACUUAUUAUGGAAAGCGCAACGUUAUUUCCAAAUAGUUUUAGAAUAAGAUGAAAUUAUAAUUCUAAUUACGAUAUAAUAUCGCAAUUAGACGCGCGGAAAAUAACUCUCGGAUGCAUAUAUGCGAAAUCUCAACUUUAUACUAGUUAUAAACGUUUCUAUAGACUCUGAUUUAUAGCCAAAAAUUGCAUUCAGUAGAUAUUGUAUUCACCUAUUACAUUAUUUUUCAAAUAAGCCUUUGAUAUUAAUUGAAAAUACUUUAUACGAGACAGUGAGAAGUUCUCAAUUUUUUGUGAAAAGUGAAACUAUCUAGCAUCACAAAAUGGCAGCUUUAAUAUUAUUUCAUUAGUUCUAAAUACCAACUCCGUCUAUCUACAGUACUGUCAUAAUAUUUCCUCCGGCAAAUAAAAAACGCGGAACGUUCUCUUUUGAGAUUCUCUUUUGAGUAAAAUUAAUUAUAUAAUAUCUUAAAUAUAAUAUACGACAUUAACGUUAACACGAUUGAUAUUAAAUCAAGUCUGACUUUUAGCAAUAAUUUACAUCUUAUAUUGUCUCUCUUGAAAAGCAGGAUAAUUUUGAUACACGUGCAGCGGAAAGCUAUCAUCACAAAUACUCUUACAUUAAUCUCCCUGUCAUCAAGGCAAAAUUAAUUUGCAGAUAAUAUUUUUUUCAUUAUUUCCAAUGAGAUUAGAAUGAGCUCACGCUUGGCAUAGUGUUUCUUCUAAGUUACAUAGAAAAAGGAUUAUCUAAUAUGCAUCCGAGAGCGCUGGGUCGGAGCGAUCGAAGAUGGAUCGACAAGAGCGAUGGCGAAUCAGUUACGGUGCGCCGACUGACACGCUUUCGGACGGUCGCAUAUACUUAUAGCGAAAAAUUAAGAGAAUGCAUAUUAUUCUGCCGAUUAACGAGUAAGUGCGUAGGAUUCGUUUAAUUGUAGAUCGAACACGUACACAGCCACGUUACGCGCGAGUGCAAAAUGCAUACCAUCUACGACCCUUCUUCGCUCACAUCUCUAUCCCCUUUACUCAAGAGUAACAUACACAUACGCACACGGAUACAUACACGUUAUACAUACGUACAUGUACAUCCACAGCGGCACACACAUAUACACAUAUACACCGACACGCACACGAAAUUACACACCCAUACACGCGUACAAUAAGGCGCAACACGUACACGCGCACGCACGUUGCAAUUAGACGUUAUUAUCGCAAUUUGGAGUUAAAUUUUAUAAUAUAUAAUAUAUAAAAAAUAUAUAUAAUAAAUAAAAGUUGACGGAUAAUAUAGAGUUAUAUUAAAUAUCUAAACGAAGGUGCUCGUGUGUUUCUCGUAUGUGAAUAUAUUGUUCCUUUCGUUGCGCAAUCACAAUCAAGAUUUUCCUUCUUGCAAUCAUCCCGAAAAUAACUUAAAUAAAUUGAUUCCCUCAUUUUUACUAUAUUAUAGCGUAAUAUAGUAAUAAACUAUUUUACUCAUGUACAUCUUAAUAAACAUAAUUCACCGUU